rfam:TPA: Bos taurus chromosome 27, whole genome shotgun sequence.
UCCCUGGUGGCUUAGUGAUAAAGAAUCUGCCUGCCAAUGCAAGGGACACAGGUUCAAUUCCUGGCCUGGGAA